rnacentral:rRNA from 1 species
UGGGGGAUAUUGCACAAUGGGCGAAAGCCUGAUGCAGCGACGCCGCGUGGGGGAUGAAGGCUUUCGGGUUGUAAACCUCUUUCGCUAUCGAACAAGGCCCGCUUAGGGUGGGUUGAGGGUAGGUGGAGAAGAAGCGCCGGCUAACUACGUGCCAGCAGCCGCGGUAAUACGUAGGGCGCGAGCGUUGUCCGGAAUUAUUGGGCGUAAAGGGCUUGUAGGCGGCUUGUUGCGCCUGCUGUGAAAACGCGGCGCUUAACUUCGCGCGUGCAGUGGGUACGGGCAGGCUUGAGUGUGGUAGGGGUGACUGGAAUUCCAGGUGUAGCGGUGGAAUGCGCAGAUAUCUGGAGGAACACCGAUGGCGAAGGCAGGUCACUGGGCCAUUACUGACGCUGAGGAGCGAAAGCAUGGGUAGCGAACAGG